rnacentral:rRNA from 1 species
AACGAACGCUGGCGGCAGGCUUAACACAUGCAAGUCGAGCGCCCCGCAAGGGGAGCGGCAGACGGGUGAGUAACGCGUGGGAACGUACCCUUUACUACGGAAUAACUCAGGGAAACUUGUGCUAAUACCGUAUGUGCCCUUUGGGGGAAAGAUUUAUCGGUAAAGGAUCGGCCCGCGUUGGAUUAGCUAGUUGGUGGGGUAAAGGCCUACCAAGGCGACGAUCCAUAGCUGGUCUGAGAGGAUGAUCAGCCACAUUGGGACUGAGACACGGCCCAAACUCCUACGGGAGGCAGCAGUGGGGAAUAUUGGACAAUGGGCGCAAGCCUGAUCCAGCCAUGCCGCGUGAGUGAUGAAGGCCUUAGGGUUGUAAAGCUCUUUCACCGGUGAAGAUAAUGACGGUAACCGGAGAAGAAGCCCCGGCUAACUUCGUGCCAGCCGCCGCAGUAA